AUUGAACGCUGGCGGCAGGCCUAACACAUGCAAGUCGAACGAGUGGCGGACGGGUGAGUAAUGUCUGGGAAACUGCCUGAUGGAGGGGGAUAACUACUGGAAACGGUAGCUAAUACCGCAUACCAUCAGAUGUGCCCAGAUGGGAUUAGCUAGUUGGUGGGGGAACGGCUCACCUAGGCGACGAUCCCUAGCUGGUCUGAGAGGAGGACCAGGCACACUGGAACUGAGACACGGUCCAGACUCCUACGGGAGGCAGCAGGGGGGAAUAUUGCAAAAAGGGCGCAAGCCUGGUGCAGCCAUGCCGCGUGUAUGAAGAAGGCCUUCGGGGUGUAAAGUACUUUCAGCGGGGAGGCGUUACCCGCAGAAGAAGCACCGGCUAACUCCGUGCCAGCAGCCGCGGUAAUAC
rnacentral:rRNA from 1 species